rnacentral:piRNA from 1 species
UGAGAUGAUGCGGGAGAUCCGCAAGGUGCU